GUGAGAAAACGCAUUCUCUCCUAAAGCUACCAGAGGACACCUAGCCUUGUCAACUCCUUGCUUUUGACCCAGUAAAACUCGCUUUGGACUUUGGAUCUCCAGAAAUUGGCCCAGGGUUUCAUCGGUUCAGAUCCUGGGUGCAGACAUGUCACCGCUCAUCAGAAGGACCUACGACUAGAAUAUACAACAAUGUACAAGGGGGUCUUGGGGAGAAGAAGAAAAAGAAAAAAAGAAAAUUGGCAACAGAUACUAGCUCAGGAACCAAUUUAAAAAAAAAAAUGAUGAGGAGUAUGGAAGGAAAAAAAAAGAAUAGUAGUCAUCCACUUGCCCAAAAUAGCUGGAGGGUACACAUAUUUGUGUAUAAUUUUAUGUGUCUGUAACAGUACAAUCUGUACUUCUCCAAUUUUCAAGUUAAGAUUUUAUUACCACUAUCAUAAUUCCUAUUUUCUACUCUUUGCAACCUCUAAGCAAUAUCUUGUAUCCAAGAGUGAAAUAUUUAAGGAACAAACGUGGCAAGGACAAGUGCAAAUGUUUGACAAAGGUGUAACAACCAAAGAACCAUCAGCUUCCUUCAAUUUUACCUAAACGUUUAUAUUCCACAAGAGGAGAAUUCCUUUGCUUAGAGUUUAGGAGAGAUAUACUCAUGCAAUUAAAUGGUUUUUGAAGAAUUGUUUAACAAUAGGUUAAAAUCCCCUAAAACUUUUUUUUAAAUCUACUGGUAUGCCUAGAAACCAGAGUCUGAGAAAGAAACAUUUGAAGUUGGCCGUCUUAGUCUUAGUAGAG
rnacentral:lncRNA from 1 species